AGCGAACGCUGGCGGCAGGCCUAACACAUGCAAGUCGAACGAAGCCUUCGGGCUUAGUGGCGGACGGGUGAGUAACACGUGGGAGCGUACCGUUUGGUUCGGAAUAACGCAGAGAAAUUUGCGCUAAUACCGAAUGAGCCCUUAGGGGGAAAGAUUUAUCGCCGAAAGAUCGGCCCGCGUUGGAUUAGGUAGUUGGUGUGGUAAAGGCGCACCAAGCCUACGGUCCAUAGCUGGUCUGAGGGGAUGAUCAGCCACACUGGGACUGAGACACGGCCCAGACUCCUACGGGAGGCAGCAGUGGGGAAUCUUGCGCAAUGGGCGAAAGCCUGACGCAGCCAUGCCGCGUGAAUGAUGAAGGUCUUAGGAUUGUAAAAUUCUUUUACCAGGGACGAUAAUGACGGUACCUGGAGAAAAAGCCCCGGCUAACUUCGUGCCAGCAGCCGCGGUAAUAC
rnacentral:rRNA from 1 species